AUUAGAUUUUUUUWUUCUGCUCAGGACGAACGCUGGCGGCGUGCCUAAUACAUGCAAGUCGAGCGGACAGAUGGGAGCUUGCUCCCUGAUGUUAGCGGCGGACGGGUGAGUAACACGUGGGUAACCUGCCUGUAAGACUGGGAUAACUCCGGGAAACCGGGGCUAAUACCGGAUGGUUGUUUGAACCGCAUGGUUCAAACAUAAAAGGUGGCUUCGGCUACCACUUACAGAUGGACCCGCGGCGCAUUAGCUAGUUGGUGAGGUAAUGGCUCACCAAGGCAACGAUGCGUAGCCGACCUGAGAGGGUGAUCGGCCACACUGGGACUGAGACACGGCCCAGACUCCUACGGGAGGCAGCAGUAGGGAAUCUUCCGCAAUGGACGAAAGUCUGACGGAGCAACGCCGCGUGAGUGAUGAAGGUUUUCGGAUCGUAAAGCUCUGUUGUUAGGGAAGAACAAGUACCGUUCGAAUAGGGCGGUACCUUGACGGUACCUAACCAGAAAGCCACGGCUAACUACGUGCCAGCAGCCGCGGUAAUACGUAGGUGGCAAGCGUUGUCCGGAAUUAUUGGGCGUAAAGGGCUCGCAGGCGGUUUCUUAAGUCUGAUGUGAAAGCCCCCGGCUCAACCGGGGAGGGUCAUUGGAAACUGGGGAACUUGAGUGCAGAAGAGGAGAGUGGAAUUCCACGUGUAGCGGUGAAAUGCGUAGAGAUGUGGAGGAACACCAGUGGCGAAGGCGACUCUCUGGUCUGUAACUGACGCUGAGAGCGAAAGCGGGCGG
rnacentral:rRNA from 1 species